rnacentral:rRNA from 1 species
CAAUAGCGUAUAUUAAAGUUGUUGCGGUUAAAAAGCUCGUAGUUGGAUCUCGGCAGGCAGGGGGUGGUUCGCUCUUAGCGCUACUGCCCCAUUUGCCUGUGUGAUUGGCGGAGGUUUCGGGGUGCUCUUCGUUGAGUGACCCGGGGCGCCGUCAGGUUUACUUUGAAAAAAUUAGAGUGCUCAAAGCAGGCUUUUCACGCUUGAAUAUUCGUGCAUGGAAUAAUGGAAUAGGAACUCGUUUCUAUUCUGUUGGUUUUCGGAAAUCGAGUUAAUGAUUAAUAGGGACAAUUGGGGGCAUUAGUAUUCAGACGACAGAGGUGAAAUUCUUGGACCGUCUGAAGACUAACUACUGCGAAAGCAUUUGCCAAGAGUGUUUUCAUUAA